UACGUAGGGGGCAAGCGUUGUCCGGAAUCAUUGGGCGUAAAGCGCGCGUAGGUGGCCUCAUAAGUCCGCUGUGAAAGUCAAAGGCUCAACCUUUGAAAGCCGGUGGAUACUGUGGGGCUAGAGUACGGAAGAGGCGAGUGGAAUUCCUGGUGUAGCGGUGAAAUGCGUAGAGAUCGGGAGGAAUACCAGUGGCGAAGGCGGCCUUCUGGACUGACACUGACGCUGAGGCGCGAAAGCCAGGGGAGCAAACGGG
rnacentral:rRNA from 1 species